AUUAUUUUGGCAGAUUAGUGCGUUAGAUUUAGAAUCUUUUUAUGUAUAAAAUACAAAUAAUA
rnacentral:tRNA from 1 species